GACGAACCGUCCAAACGUUGUUCGGAAUCACUGGGCUUAAAGGGCGCGUAGGCGGCCUUGAAAGUCGGGGGUGAAAUCCCACGGCCUAACCGUGGAAGUGCCUCCGAUACUGCAGGGCUCGAGGGAGGUAGGGGCAGCUGGAACUUCCGGUGGAGCGGUGAAAUGCGUUGAUAUCGGAAGGAACGCCGGUGGCGAAAGCGAGCUGCUGGACCUCUGCUGACGCUGAGGCGCGAAAGCCAGGAGAGCAAACGGG
rnacentral:rRNA from 1 species